rnacentral:rRNA from 1 species
AUUGAACGCUGGCGGCAUGCCUUACACAUGCAAGUCGAACGGUAGCAGGUCUUCGGAUGCUGACGAGUGGCGAACGGGUGAGUAAUACAUCGGAACGUGCCUAGUAGUGGGGGAUAACUACUCGAAAGAGUGGCUAAUACCGCAUGAGAUCUACGGAUGAAAGCAGGGGAUCGCAAGACCUUGUGCUACUAGAGCGGCCGAUGGCAGAUUAGGUAGUUGGUGGGAUAAAAGCUUACCAAGCCGACGAUCUGUAGCUGGUCUGAGAGGACGACCAGCCACACUGGGACUGAGACACGGCCCAAACUCCUACGGGAGGCAGCAGUGGGGAAUUUUGGACAAUGGGCGAAAGCCUGAUCCAGCAAUGCCGCGUGCAGGAUGAAGGCCUUCGGGUUGUAAACUGCUUUUGUACGGAACGAAAAGCCCCGGGUUAAUACCCUGGGGUCAUGACGGUACCGUAAGAAUAAGCACCGGCUAACUACGUGCCAGCAGCCGCCGUAA